GAUCAACGCUGACAGAAUGCUUAACACAUGCAAGUCGAUGAUGGGAGCUAGCUUGCUAGAAGAAGUCAUGGCGGACGGGUGAGUAACGUGUAAAGAACUUACCAUAUAGACUGGGAUAACAGAGGGAAACUUCUGAUAAUACUGGAUAAGUUAGUAGUAGCAUUACUAAGUAAUGAAAGGUAGCAAUACGCUAUAUGAGAGCUUUGCAUCCUAUUAGCUAGUUGGUGGGGUAAAAGCCUACCAAGGCGAUGAUAGGUAGCCGGCCUGAGAGGGUGGACAGCCACAAGGGGACUGAGAUACGGCCCUUACUCCUACGGGAGGCAGCAGUGGGGAAUAUUGGACAAUGGAGGCAACUCUGAUCCAGCAAUUCUGUGUGUGUGAAGAAGGUUUUAGGACUGUAAAACACUUUUAGUAGGGAAGAAAGAAAUGACGGUACCUACAGAAGAAGCGACGGCUAAAUACGUG
rnacentral:rRNA from 1 species